rnacentral:misc_RNA from 1 species
UGUCCAUAGUGAACCUUGCAAGGGUUUAAGGAAAAGUUAUUCCUUUUUGUCAGUUAUGCCGGGGAGGGUUUUUCCGGUUUAUCCCGGAGGGCUUGUAGCUCAGUUGGUUAGAGCGCGCGCUUGAUAAGCGUGAGGUCGGAGGUUCAAGUCCUCCCAGGCCCACCAAUUUACGCCUAUUCCUUGAUGAAGGCAGAGUGAACAUUCUAUAUGGUUUUUUAGAUUGUUUGAGAAUUUUUAGGGGCCGUAGCUCAGCUGGGAGAGCACCUGCUUUGCAAGCAGGGGGUCGUCGG